rnacentral:rRNA from 1 species
UACGUAGGGGGCGAGCGUUGUCCGGAUUUAUUGGGCGUAAAGAGCUCGUAGGCGGUUGGGUAAGUCGGGUGUGAAAACUCAGGGCUCAACUCUGAGACGCCACUCGAUACUGCCCUGACUCGAGUCCGGUAGGGGAGCGUGGAAUUCCCGGUGUAGCGGUGAGAUGCGUAGAUAUCGGGAGGAACAUCAGUGGCGAAGGCGGCUACCUGGCCCAAUACUGACACUCAGGUGCGACAGCGUGGGGAGCAAACAGG